rnacentral:rRNA from 1 species
GGCGGACGGGUUAGUAACGCGUGGGAAUAUACCCUUCUCUACGGAAUAGCCUCGGGAAACUGAGAGUAAUACCGUAUACGCCCUUCGGGGGAAAGAUUUAUCGGANANNGAUUANCCCGCGUAAGAUUAGAUAGUUGGUGGGGUAAUGGCCUACCAAGUCUACGAUCUUUANCUGGUUUUAGAGGAUGAUCAGCAACACUGGGACUGAGACACGGCCCANACUCCUACGGGAGGCAGCNGUGGGGAAUCUUANACAAUGGGCGAAAGCCUGAUCUAGCCAUGCCGCGUGAGUGAUGAAGGCCUUAGGGUCGUAAAGCUCUUUCNCCAGGGAUGAUAAUGACAGUACCUGGUAAAGAAGCCCCGGCUAACUCCGUGCCANCNNCCGCGGUAAUACGGAGGGGGCUAGCGUUGUUCGNAAUUACUGGGCGUAAAGCGCACGUAGGCGGAUCANAAAGUAAGGGGNGAAAUCCCNAGGNUCAACCUCGGAACUGCCUCUUAAACUCCUGGUCUUGAGUUC